CUCUUGCAGGACUUCAGUUCUGCUUAGUUUCCAGGAUCUCGUAGUCCACAGAAGACCACUAUCACUAAGCUUUUAGACACCAUGGAGCAGUGGCAUCUCGGGCUGGAAACAGUUUUUUAAGGAGGGAGGCACUCAGCAGAUGC